rnacentral:rRNA from 1 species
UACGAAGGGAGCUAGCGUUGUUCGGAAUUACUGGGCGUAAAGGGUGCGUAGGCGGUCUAACAAGUCAGAUGUGAAAGCCCUGGGCUUAACCCGGGAACUGCGUUUGAUACUGUUAGGCUAGAAUUCGGGAGAGGUGAGUGGAAUUCCCAGUGUAGAGGUGAAAUUCGUAGAUAUUGGGAAGAACACCGGUGGCGAAGGCGGCUCACUGGACCGACAUUGACGCUGAGGCACGAAAGCGUGGGUAGCAAACAGG